rnacentral:rRNA from 1 species
CUAAGAAUUUGAUCCUGGUUCAGGGUGAAUGCUAGCGGUGUGGAGGGAUGACGGCCCUCGGGUUGUAAACCUCGUUAUAAGCACCGGCUAACUACGUGCCAGCAGCAGCGGUCACACGUAGGGUGCAAGCAUUACCCGGUCUUACUGGGCGUAAAGAGUUCUGUAGGCGGCUAGAUAAGUUGGUGGUCAAAUACCUCGGCUCAACCGAGGAAAGGCUGUCAAUACUGUUUGGCUAGGAGGCGACUAGGGGGUAGCGGAACGUAUGGUGUAGCAGUAAAAUGCGUUGAUAUCAUACGGAACACCAAGGGGGAAGCCAGCUACCUGGGGUUGUCCUGACGCUGAGAGACGAAAGCGUGGGGAGCGAAACGGAUUAGAUACCCGUGUAGUCCACGCUGUAAACCAUGCCUGCUAGAUGCCAGAUUUUUUUGGUGUCGAAGCUAACGCGUUAAGCAGGCCGCCUGGGGAGUACGGUCGCAAGAUUAAAACUCAAAGGAAUUGGCGGGGACCCGCACAAGCGGUGGAGCAUGCUCUUCAAUUGGCUGAUAACCCAAGAACCUUACCAAGGCUUGACAUGUAUGAAGUAGUGGACCGAAAGGCGAACGACCGGUAUCCAACCCGGAGCUUACACAGGUGUUGCAUGGCUGUCGUCAGCUCGUACCGUGAGGCGUACCCUUAAGUGGGUUAACGAGCGCAACCCCUACUGCUAGUUGUAUCACUCUAGCGGAACUGCCGCGGCAACGCGGAGGAAGGUGGGGAUGACGUCAAGUCGGUAUUGCCCUUACGCCUUGGGCUAGAAGCAUGCUACAAUGGCCGGCAUAAAGGGUCGCAAAGCCGCGAGGCUGAGCUAAUCCCAAAAAACCGGUCCCAGUUCGGAUUGGAGUCUGCAAUUCGACUCCAUGAAGCCGGAUCUUGCACACACUGCCCGUCACGCCAGCAAAGCUGGGGCCACCCGAAGUCUCACAUUAGUGGGCUCACGGUGGAAUCAGUGAUGAGGGUGAAGUCGUAAAUGUAUUUGUUGCGACUUGUGGGAGUAAUCUCACAAAAAAAAUUCGGCUAAUAACGGUGAAGGCCGCCAUCGGCGGUUAAUACCGUGGGAAGUUUUCUAACUUUAUUAGAAAACCCCGUAUCGACUAAUUCUUCGAACAAGGUAGCCGUAGGGGAAUCUGCGGCUGGAUCACCUCCUU